rnacentral:rRNA from 1 species
GAUGAACGCUGGCGGCGUGCUUAACACAUGCAAGUCGAACGAUGAAGCCCAGCUUGCUGGGUGGAUUAGUGGCGAACGGGUGUGUAACACGUGAGUAACCUGCCCUUAACUCUGGGAUAAGCCUGGGAAACUGGGUCUAAUACCGGAUAGGAGCGUCCACCGCAUGGUGGGUGUUGGAAAGAUUUAUCGGUUUUGGAUGGACUCGCGGCCUAUCAGCUUGUUGGUGAGGUAAUGGCUCACCAAGGCGACGACGGGUAGCCGGCCUGAGAGGGUGACCGGCCACACUGGGACUGAGACACGGCCCAGACUCCUACGGGAGGCAGCAGUGGGGAAUAUUGCACAAUGGGCGGAAGCCUGAUGCAGCGACGCCGCGUGAGGGAUGACGGCCUUCGGGUUGUAAACCUCUUUCGGUAGGGAAGAAGCGAAAGUGACGGUACCUGCAGAAGAAGCACCGGCUAACUACGUG